AACGAACGCUGGCGGCAUGCCUAACACAUGCAAGUCGAACGAGACCUUCGGGUCUAGUGGCGCACGGGUGCGUAACGCGUGGGAAUCUGCCCUUGGGUCCGGAAUAACUCAGAGAAAUUUGAGCUAAGUACCGGAUGAUGACGUAAGUCCAAAGAUUUAUCGCCCAGGGAUGAGCCCGCGUAGGAUUAGCUAGUUGGUGAGGUAAAGGCUCACCAAGGCGACGAUCCUUAGCUGGUCUGAGAGGAUGAUCAGCCACACUGGGACUGAGACACGGCCCAGACUCCUACGGGAGGCAGCAGU
rnacentral:rRNA from 1 species